rnacentral:rRNA from 1 species
GACGAACGCUGGCGGCGUGCUUAACACAUGCAAGUCGAACGGAAAGGCCCUGCUUUUGUGGUGUUCUCGAGUGGCGAACGGGUGAGUAACACGUGAGUAACCUGCCCUUGACUUUGGGAUAACUUCAGGAAACGGGGGCUAAUACCGGAUAGGAGCUCCUGCUGCAUGGUGGGGGUUGGAAAGUCGCGGCGGUUGGGGAUGGACUCGCGGCUUAUCAGCUUGUUGGUGGGGUAGUGGCUUACCAAGGCUUUGACGGAUAGCCGGCCUGAGAGGGUGACCGGCCACAUUGGGACUGAGAUACGGACCAGACGCGUACGGGAGGCAGCAGUGGGGAAUAUUGCACAAUGGGCGGAAGCCUGAUGCAGCAACGCCGCGUGCGGGAUGACGGCCUUCGGGUUGUAAACCGCUUUCGCCUGUGACGAAGCGUGAGUGACGGUAAUGGGUAAAGAAGCACCGGCUAACUACGUG